rnacentral:lncRNA from 1 species
CUCCAGAUUGGAGUGGUCGGCUUUGGUGGCCGCGGUGCCGUUGGGUGGUGCAGGUCAAGUGUGCGGCCAUGGAGUAGAUCGAGCAUAUGUGCAGGUUAGUGAUGCCUUGUUCCUAUCCCUAAUAUUUUUUUAUGGUUAAAGUUCUCAGAUUUAGUAAAUUAAUUUAGUCUCAUGUGCAUGUGUGUGUACUGAACUAAUUCCUCUUGUGCAAGAUGUUGGUGUACUAAUGAUGCACAUUAUCUUGCUCCAUUUUAUUUUACUUGAUUAAGGUAUUAUCCAUGCUUUCUUGUACUGUUGAUUUUAAGAUCUGUGAUAUGAUACUACUGGGAUGAUUUAGCUUUUGUGUGCAUCUGUGAAGAAGUAGUGAGGAAUAUUGGGGGUGCAUCUGGGUUGGGCUUCUUUGUGAGUGUGAGUGCUGAAGGAAUGACAGAAGAAGAAGAACUCACCUUUCUUCUUUUGCCUUCUCCGCUGUUCCUACUAGUGCUGCUCCUACUUCCAGAUCCCAGUCCAGUAGGCUAACUUCUUGCUCCAGCCUUCCUCCUUCGAUCUACUAUGAUUUCUCAGGUCACCAUCUCUACUUAUUGUUCUUGGAUCUUUGCGGGUUGCAGAUAGAAAGAUGAAGACAGUGGGAGGAAGACAAGCUGCUGGUCUGGCUAUUUGGGAAGAAUGGAGACGUGUGAAGUCUUGGGAGUGGCUUGCUCUGCUCUUUCCCCUCUUAAUAUCAAAAAUCCAUCUCCCUUGGCUGGUAUGGCUGCCC